AUCGCUUCUCGGCCUGUUGGCUGAGAUCAAAGUGUAGAAUCUGUUCUUAUCAGCUUAAUAUCGGAUAGGCCGCACAUUGUGUGGUCAGCAUAUUAAACUGAUUUUUUUGGAAAUGGAGUGUUAGUGAGGGUCUUGCUCCACAUUCAAGAAAAACAGGAAAUGAUUACUAUAGUCAGUACAAAUUUACUUCAG